rnacentral:rRNA from 1 species
UACGUAGGUGGCAAGCGUUGUCCGGAUUUACUGGGCGUAAAGAGCGCGCAGGCGGUCGUUCAAGUCGCGUGUGAAAGCCCCCGGCUCAACUGGGGAGGGUCACGCGAUACUGAUCGACUCGAAGGCAGGAGAGGGAAGUGGAAUUCCCGGUGUAGUGGUGAAAUGCGUAGAUAUCGGGAGGAACACCGGUGGCGAAGGCGACUUCCUGGCCUGUUCUUGACGCUGAGGCGCGAAAGCUAGGGGAGCAAACAGG